CAAAAUGUGCUCCAGGAAUACUCUGACAUCCACAGCAGUGAAGAAGAGGAAGUGAGUGUGAUCCCAGCGAUGUGUGCGCUGCAACGUGGACGGAAUAAAGCAAAGGUGACCACGUUUGACCUCAUAGCAGUCAAGCAGAUGGCAGCUUUCUGGUUGCAAAGACAAGGUCGCCGUGUGAAUUAAUGGCGCCAUAAGGAACAGCCAAUUAGGCGGGCCUUUGUAAAGUAGGCCAAAUGAAGGUUGGAGGUCUCUCAAAGCCCUAAGAAGUGCAAAUGCGGCCCAACGCCGGAGAGGACAUGAAACGCACGCUAUCAGAAAGCACAUUUCCCAUUUGAAAGACAACCAGGAGCUCAAUCAGCUUCCAAAUCAUCCCCCCCCCCUUCCGCCUUCAAUCACGUCAUUAAAAGCAUGUAGGCGGCAUAUUCCCUCUGGAAGUUCAAACGUGAGGACGCAGCCGUGCGAGCUUUGAACCAGCAGCAGCGAAUGCAGAGGUCUUCUCCAAUAUUUGCAUGAAAGAUGCGCUGAUAACCGUCAUCGUCUGGUCCAAGUGUGGAGUGGAUGUGUAAUGCAUGAAUCAGUGCAGACCACCUCUCAGCUCUGCUGUGAUCGACACGUACGGUCCCACAGUGUGCACGAGGAAACACAUGUGCGAAAGGAAUACAAACACAACAGGACGCAGGAACCACCUGUACGUCAGUCCCACUGUCACUGCACUCACUAACAAUGCAGCUGUGGAACAUACGUCAAUGCCGACUGCCAUCUUGUUUUACUUUGGAGCUCAAGAAGUUAACAAUAACACCCCUCAGCAUGAUGCAUUGCAGCGCUACAUCGCUGCUAACUACAACCACGGCAGACUGCAUUUCCUCAAUCAACAACGGUGGGAAAAAAUAUUCUUUCAUUUUCUAUGCCGCUUGUCCUCAUUGGGGUCGCGGGGGUAUGCUGGAACUUAUCCCAGCUGACUUCGGGCGACAGGCGGGGUACACCCUGGACUGGUCGCCAGCCAAUGGCAGGGCACAUGUAGACAAACAACCAUUCACACUCACAUUCAUACCUAUGGACAAUUUAGAGUCUCCGAUGAACUCAUUCAAUCCCAGACAUUGUUCAAAAGAAAACCCCCUCAGUAGCGGCCGUUUUAGACGAUUUUGGCUGAUCUUCCAGGGCACACAGAAUAUUGUGUUCUAUGGCUGUAUGAACAUGAAAGAUUAGACUCCUGUCUUUCAUCGGAAAAAAAAAGUUGGCUUCUACCUUCUUCCGUUCUUUAGUAAUCAUUUAGUAGAACAUCGGUAAGUUUUAGGAAAAUAUCAGUUCCCGAGUAGAAAAGAGAGAAAACAAGCUUUUUGUGAAAAGGAACAUUUCAAGCAUAACUUUUACGUCGACACAAAAUGUUUUGCUUUUGUGACAGCUCAAAUAUGUAAACAGCUAUACCAACAUAAACAACACAAAAAAGGUUUUGUUUUACAUUAAAAUAACAAUUUAUCUACAAAUAUAACACCAUCAACUAUUUACAAAUUUCACAUUUACAAUUGAACUAUGUGCGUGUGCAUGGGUUAAAAGUGACCUACAAUGCGUAACCUUCUGCAUGCUACACUCCUCCAUGCUCUCUCACUUCCUCCUUCCUGUCACGUGUGUUUAUCUAUUAACAUGAUCCCUGCCCAGCUCUUAUCAAAUGCACUUCUGCUUCCUUGUGGCCGCUUUUAUAUGGCUUAAAAGUGCUCUGAAGUGUUCAUACAUUAGUGGAGAGUUGCAUCAUCACCUGUUUUUCCCUCUCGCACACAAAAACGUAAAAGACGUAUGAAUACGUUGCUGGGAUGUGUUCGGAAUUAUAAAAACGUAUAACUACGUCUUUGGUAUUGAGUGAAUUAACUUCACAUGCAUGUUCUUGGAAUGUGGGAGGAUGCCCGAGAACCCGGAGAAAACCCACACACGCACGGGGAGAACAUGCCAACUCCACACAGAGACGCCCGAACGAAGAUAGGAACCCAAAUCUUUCAGAGCUCCUGACUGCUAACCACUAGGCCGCCAUGUGGCAGGAAAAAAUAUGAUUUAAAAAAAAAACACAUUUAAAUUUAAGAUAGCAGAAAACACAAAUGGAAGUAUUAGUUUUUUCCCCAAUAUUUUUUUCAUUUAUUAGAAAGGUAGAAAACACAGAAUAAUUUUUUAAAAAUGUGUCCAAAUUAAUUUUAGAAAAUGCUAAGGGAGAUUCGUUAUAUUUUAAACUAUUUUUUAAAAAUGUAUUUAAGGUGGAAGAAAAAACACAUUUUAUUUAUUUAUUUAUUUAUUUAUUAGAUUUUAAACAGGAAAAGAUUAAAAACACAAGCUGUUUUUAUAUAAACUUUUUAAUGGCAGAAAAUACUAAGGAGAGAGUUUUUGCAUUUACUUUCAAGAAUUACAUUUGUUAUUAGAGUAAAAAAAAAUCAAAUAUUUACUGUUUCAAUGUUAGCGAUAGCUGAUGUUCUUCUUCUUUAGUCGAAUCAACAGCACCUCUGCUGGUUGCAUCCAAGUACUGCGUCCCCAUUGCUCAAAGGCUCCAAUCAACUUCACAUGAUUGUUCAUCAACUCAUCAAUUUUUGUGCUAUAAGUAAAAAAAAAAAAAAAUCACAAUAAUAAACACAUAGUUCAUAUUGGUCAUUAUUACCUUUAUGAAAGCUAAUAUUUGAUACAGGGCUUGUAUUUCAAGUUUCUAAUGUGUUUAUCUGAUUUAAUUGGCUGUAUUAUGCAAAUAAUAGGGGAUGAUUUUCAUAAAGACACCCCAAGCACUUAGCCAAUAUGAGUUCUUUUAUUUGGUGCUAACUAAGCCUGUGUGGGCUUUGCAAGGAUUGACAUUUAAUUUAGUGUUUAAUCCAGCAUCAGCACGUAUGAAUCACUGCCUCCGUUGAGUAAUAACAGCCUCAACACUGCUCUCAUCCCGCAUGAGAUUGAGUGCCAAAAUAUUGUCUCAUACUGUAUGUUUACACCUCCAACGCUGACAUGAUAAUCAUUUAUUAUCCUCAUUAUGUACAAAAAACCCAACUAAUGAGCCAUUGCCCAUUUAAAGCCGCACUUAGUUAAUAAAUGUCAAAAAAACAUUAAUAUCCUCACUUACACUUGUCAGCUACGAGCUUUAAAUGUUAUUUUAUUUUAGUGUAUGCACAAAAACAGGUUUACUCUAAACCACUGGUGUCAAACUCAAGGCCCGGGGGCCAGAUUUGGACCGCCAUAUCGUUUUAUGUGGCCCGUGAAAGCCUGGAAAUAAUACACUGUCAAAAAUACACUUUUUUUAAACAUAAUUUUUAAAAUCUAUUUACUUUUGUAUUAUUAUUUAAUUAAUUUAAUUAUUUUAAACAAUAUUUUAAGGAAAAAAUAAUUUUAAAAAAUCCAAAAGACACUUAAUCGUGCUAAAUGUAUUUGUUCUGUCAGUUUUGACAGAACAUUUGUGCUGCAUGCAAUUCUUUUUUUGUUGCCAAAGCCCAUUUAAGAUGAAUGAUGCAAUACAGUAGCUGUUUCUGCUUGGCAACUUGACUUCUUAUUUCAAUGUAAAUGUGUUGGUCAAACAACAGAAAAUGAAAAUCAUAACAAUCACAUGCGUAAUAAGAUCCUGAGGUGAUUACACAUUUAUUUAUACAGUUUCACACUUCCAGGUGACCACAACUGCCCACGGUGAAAACCAGUUUGACGCCCCUGCGCUAAACAAACCUCAUUCGCAUGUUGUGUGUGCAAAAAAUGACAUCGCAUGGAAUGGGAGUCAAGUCCACAUAAUUAGACACACUUGCAGCAUUCAAUUAGAAAAUAUCUGGCACAGCCAGUGUGGCUUUGUACAACUGCAAACUACAGGCACAAUAGGAAAUAUAUUGUCAUUCAAUAUCAUCAUUGGCAGUUAUUAAAAUGAUUAGAAAGCCUGCAUUGUUGUAUUGGAUGGCAUUAGAUUGUAGCAGGGGUACCUAAUGAAGUGGCCACUGAAUGCAAAUCAUGUUUUUACAUCUUUGGGAGCAAAUUAAACACAGCACACUCACAUAUUGAUCAGUUUUUUUCAUUUUAGUAUUUCCUGCUUUGAUUCAAUAAUAAUCGCGGUUCAUUUAUGAGUGAAACAGUUUAAGGUGCAAUUUGGAAUUAUUUUUGAGAGGAUGUGUUGACAGUUACAGUAAAUAUAUAUUUUAUUAUUAAAAACAAUUCCAGCAGAAGAAAACUUGCACAUGAAUGUUUUGGUUAAGAAAGAGAAGUAAAACAAAAAAAGAAAAAAAAAAGAGAGACGUCUUACCAGCUCGUGGCUGAUGUGCAGCUCUCCUGGGCGACCGUGAACGCACCGCACAGCGUGCAGAUGUUGUCCAGUUGUUUGCCAGCUCGCCUCUGUCCUUGGUUCUGAAGUGUUUGCUCACACCGGCAAACUCCUCCGUGCUCUCCAACUUGCCAUCCGCCAAACCAGCCAGGUCCAGCCGAGCCGAGCCGAGCCGAGCCGUGCGCAAAGACGUCCGGCAGGCUCAGCACCAGAGAGACAAGAGGCGAGCUUGAAUCGUGAAUAAAGUGGCAGGUUUUUUUGUUAACUUAUCACCGCUCUCGUCUCUAGCCGAGUCGUGAGCGUGGAGUGCUGAAGCCUGCCCGGACGAGAGCCGAACCGUCUUCUAAAAGACAACCCGAACAGUCCACUUGCGAUCGAGUGAUCCAAUGCCCUGAGAGUACAAUAACCUGAUGAAUGAGAAUUGUCACAGACUUAACUUAUGAGGUUUUCUCUGCGGGAAGUGGGCAGAAUGAACUUCAGAAUAAGGGCAGCGGAGGAAUCUGGAGGUGGUGCUGCAACAAAGACGCGCCUCUGCUGCUCCUGUGUGCGCAUCGCGGCCACGCUGCGCGCUCCCGCCAGUCGGCAGCUUGAAAAAACAAAGCCAAAUGAAACACACACGACAUGUGGCUCUAUGAAAUUAAUAGCAACGCUACAGCUUGGCGGACAGAAGCCAUAAGAGCAAAACACACACAGAGAAAAUGAACUGACUAUGAAUACAUCUCCUAUUUGACUCCAAUGAGAUUUCAUAAGGCAACUUUUGGUCUGUCCUCAUUCACCUCCAUCUCAUCGAAGCUGAUGACAUACUCCAGCUGAGUGCUGCUGAAUGCACUCCAAAGAUGGAGAGGUUGUGUCUUUUUUUUUUUUUUACUCAUUAUAACACUAACAUGACAGUUCCAGCAUGCAAAAUGAAACAAAAAUAUGAAAAAGUGACAAAUCUGCUCCAUGAUUUAAAAGUACAUACUGCAACCAUUUCAAGGGAUAAAACCAUACAAAGUAAACACGGAUAUGCUUUAGAGUAGUCAGUGUACAGCUUGUAUGGCAGUCUCUCGUGUAUAGCGGUUCAUUGGUUCCAGACCCGACUGCAGUAAAUGAAUUUCCACAAUAUCGGAUUCACUGUUAAUACAGUCGUCCCUCGCAAUAUUGGGGUUCGAUUAUCGCUCAGUCUCGGCUUUUCAGAAAUGAAUGAAUGGAUGAAUAAGUGAUGGGCUGUUUGGUGCUAGACUAUGGUCUAUUAUUAGUCAAAACUAAUGGAAAUACCAGUGAUGACAGCAGUAAUGACACAAAACAUUGAUGAGACGUUACCUUACAUUACAUUACCUGAACACUGCAUGAGUCAGCCAUGGCAUGUCCCACAUGAUGGAGUGGAAAAAAGUUCUCCUCCCGUUCCAUGUGGAAGUGGUAAGUUUUUGGCUUCUUAAGUUUAGAAGAAAUGAAUUUGAGGCUAACUGGUUAGCUUGCUAGCUUGUCUGGAGUCCCUGCAGCAUAAGAGUUGCAAUGUGUUGUAAACAAUGAAUAAUAAGAGUGUAAAGGUGACUAUAGGGUUGUUAUUUAUGUCUCCAGGGCUCUAAUAAUGUUAAAGAGUGUAUUUAAAAAGUCAAACAGGUUUUCUAUGGUCUCACUACAAAAAUGUCAUAAAUAAAUAAAUAAAAUUCCAAUUCCAUUUAUUAACAUCGGAUCCUACAUCACGGAAAUUCAUUUAUCACGGUCGGGUCGGGAGCCAAUUAACCGCUAUAAAACGAGGAACAACUGUAAAUGGAAUAUUUUUGUUAAACCUGUUUAUGACUUUUUAAACACAGUUUUUAACAUUAUUAGAGCCCUGUAGACACGAAAUAACAGCCCCAUAGGCACCCUUACACUCCUAAUACUUGUAUUCAUUGUUUACCUAAGAAUAGACCAUAGUCUACCACAAAACAUGCACCAUUUAUUCAUGAAUUCAUUUCUGAAAAAACGCAAUAUAGUGAGAGAGCCAUCAUCGAACUGUGAUAUUGCAAAGGACGACUGUAUAGAUCACAGGUGUCAAACCCAAGGCCUGGGGGCCAGAUUCGGGGUGCCAUAUCAUUUUAUGUGGCCCGUGAAAGCCUGGAAAUAAUGCACAUCAAAAAGACACUUGUUUUAAUAUGAUUUUAAAAAUAUAUUUGUAUAUGUAUAGCGUAUAUUUUAAUUUUGUUAUUAAUAUUAAUGUUGGUUUGACUU